UACGUAGGGGGCAAGCGUUGUCCGGAUUUAUUGGGCGUAAAGAGCGUGUAGGCGGCCAUACAGGUCCGUUGUGAAAACUGGAGGCUUAACCUCCAGACGUCGAUGGAAACCGUAUGGCUAGAGUCCGGAAGAGGAGAGUGGAAUUCCUGGUGUAGCGGUGAAAUGCGCAGGAUAUCAGGAAGAACACCCGUGGCGAAGGCGGCUCUCUGGGACGGUACUGACGCUGAGACGCGAAAGCGUGGGGAGCGAACAGG
rnacentral:rRNA from 1 species